UACAGAGGGUGCGAGCGUUAAUCGGAAUUACUGGGCGUAAAGCGCACGUAGUCGGCUUUGCAAGUCGGGUGUGAAAUCCCCGGGCUCAACCUGGGAACUGCAUCCGAGACUGCAUUGCUAGAGUAUGGGAGAGGGAAGCGGAAUUUCUGGUGUAGCAGUGAAAUGCGUAGAUAUCAGAAGGAACAUCAGUGGCGAAGGCGGUUUCCUGGACCAAUACUGACGAUCAGGUGCGAAAGCGUGGGGAGCAAACAGG
rnacentral:rRNA from 1 species